rnacentral:rRNA from 1 species
CGGGGGGCAGCAGUGGGGAAUAUUGCACAAUGGGGGAAACCCUGAUGCAGCGACGCCGCGUGAGCGAUGAAGCCCUUCGGGGUGUAAAGCUCUUUCGGCAGGGACGAUUAUGACGGUACCUGCAGAAGCAGCUGCGGCUAACUACGUGCCAGCAGCCGCGGUAAUACGUAGGCAGCAAGCGUUGUUCGGAAUUACUGGGCGUAAAGGGUGCGUAGGCGGCUUUUUAAGUUUGUCGUGAAAUCUCCCGGCUCAACCGGGAGGGUGCGGCGAAUACUGAGAAGCUAGAGUGUGGGAGAGGAAAGUGGAAUUCCUGGUGUAGCGGUGAAAUGCGUAGAUAUCAGGAGGAACACCGGUGGUGUAAACGGCUUUCUGGACCAUAACUGACGCUGAGGCACGAAAGCGUGGGUAGCAAACAGGAUUAGAUACCCGAGU